AGGGCACCACCAGGAGUGGAGCCUGCGGCUUAAUUUGACUCAACACGGGGAAACUUACCCGGCCUGGACACUGGAAGGAUUGACAGAUUGAGAGCUCUUUCUUGAUUCAGUGGGUGGUGGUGCAUGGCCGUUCUUAGUUGGUGGAGCGAUUUGUCUGGUUAAUUCCGAUAACGAACGAGACUCUAGCCUAUUAAAUAGGCUCUCGGCUUUUAAACGCCGGGAGGACUUCUUAGAGGGACGGGUGGCGGUUCAGCCGCACGAAAGAGAGCAAUAACAGGUCUGUGAUGCCCUUUGUUGUCCGGGGCCGCACGCGCGCUACACUGAAGAGAUCAGCGUGCUUUACGUUCCUGCUCCGACCGGAGUGGGGAACCCAGUGAACCUUCUUCGUGAUUGGGAUAGAAGAUUGUAAUUAUUCUUCUUGAACGAGGAAUUCCCAGUAAAUGCGAGUCAUAAGCUCGCGUUGAUUACGUCCCUGCCCUUUGUACACACCGCCCGUCGCUACUACCGAUUGAACGAUUU
rnacentral:rRNA from 1 species